rnacentral:sRNA from 1 species
CUCUUCAGUCUUCAGCCU